GGACGGGUGAGUAACACGUGGGUAACCUGCCUGUAAGACUGGGAUAACUCCGGGAAACCGGGGCUAAUACCGGAUGCUUGUUUGAACCGCAUGGUUCAAACAUAAAAGGUGGCUUCGGCUACCACUUACAGAUGGACCCGCGGCGCAUUAGCUAGUUGGUGAGGUAAUGGCUCACCAAGGCAACGAUGCGUAGCCGACCUGAGAGGGUGAUCGGCCACACUGGGACUGAGACACGGCCCAGACUCCUACGGGAGGCAGCAGUAGGGAAUCUUCCGCAAUGGACGAAAGUCUGACGGAGCAACGCCGCGUGAGUGAUGAAGGUUUUCGGAUCGUAAAGCUCUGUUGUUAGGGAAGAACAAGUGCCGUUCAAAUAGGGCGGCACCUUGACGGUACCUAACCAGAAAGCCACGGCUAACUACGUGCCAGCAGCCGCGGUAAUACGUAGGUGGCAAGCGUUGUCCGGAAUUAUUGGGCGUAAAGGGCUCGCAGGCGGUUUCUUAAGUCUGAUGUGAAAGCCCCCGGCUCAACCGGGGAGGGUCAUUGGAAACUGGGGAACUUGAGUGCAGAAGAGGAGAGUGGAAUUCCACGUGUAGCGGUGAAAUGCGUAGAGAUGUGGAGGAACACCAGUGGCGAAGGCGACUCUCUGGUCUGUAACUGACGCUGAGGAGCGAAAGCGUGGGGAGCGAACAGGAUUAGAUACCCUGGUAGUCCACGCCGUAAACGAUGAGUGCUAAGUGUU
rnacentral:rRNA from 1 species